rnacentral:rRNA from 1 species
GGAAAGGCGCGCGAUACAGGGUGACAGCCCCGUACACAAAAAUGCACAUGCUGUGAGCUCGAUGAGUAGGGCGGGACACGUGGUAUCCUGUCUGAAUAUGGGGGGACCAUCCUCCAAGGCUAAAUACUCCUGACUGACCGAUAGUGAACCAGUACCGUGAGGGAAAGGCGAAAAGAACCCCGGCGAGGGGAGUGAAAAAGAACCUGAAACCGUGUACGUACAAGCAGUGGGAGCACGCUUCGGCGUGUGACUGCGUACCUUUUGUAUAAUGGGUCAGCGACUUAUAUUCUGUAGCAAGGUUAACCGAAUAGGGGAGCCGAAGGGAAACCGAGUCUUAACUGGGCGUUAAGUUGCAGGGUAUAGACCCGAAACCCGGUGAUCUAGCCAUGGGCAGGUUGAAGGUUGGGUAACACUAACUGGAGGACCGAACCGACUAAUGUUGAAAAAUUAGCGGAUGACUUGUGGCUGGGGGUGAAAGGCCAAUCAAACCGGGAGAUAGCUGGUUCUCCCCGAAAGCUAUUUAGGUAGCGCCUCGUGAAUUCAUCUCCGGGGGUAGAGCACUGUUUCGGCAAGGGGGUCAUCCCGACUUACCAACCCGAUGCAAACUGCGAAUACCGGAGAAUGUUAUCACGGGAGACACACGGCGGGUGCUAACGUCCGUCGUGAAGAGGGAAACAACCCAGACCGCCAGCUAAGGUCCCAAAGUCAUGGUUAAGUGGGAAACGAUGUGGGAAGGCCCAGACAGCCAGGAUGUUGGCUUAGAAGCAGCCAUCAUUUAAAGAAAGCGUAAUAGCUCACUGGUCGAGUCGGCCUGCGCGGAAGAUGUAACGGGGCUAAACCAUG